CAAUGUGAACGUUACCAAACUGUUGCCUCGGCGGGAUCUCUGCCCCGGGUGCGUCGCAGCCCCGGACCAAGGCGCCCGCCGGAGGACCAACCAAAACUCUUUUUGUAUACCCCCUCGCGGGUUUUUUAUAAUCUGAGCCUUCUCGGCGCCUCUCGUAGGCGUUUCGAAAAUGAAUCAAAACUUUCAACAACGGAUCUCUUGGUUCUGGCAUCGAUGAAGAACGCAGCGAAAUGCGAUAAGUAAUGUGAAUUGCAGAAUUCAGUGAAUCAUCGAAUCUUUGAACGCACAUUGCGCCCGCCAGUAUUCUGGCGGGCAUGCCUGUCCGAGCGUCAUUUCAACCCUCGAACCCCUCCGGGGGGUCGGCGUUGGGGAUCGGCCCUGCCUCUUGGCGGCGGCCGUCUCCGAAAUACAGUGGCGGUCUCGCCGCAGCCUCUCCUGCGCAGUAGUUUGCACACUCGCAUCGGGAGCGCGGCGCGUCCACAGCCGUUAAACACCCAACUUCUGAAAUGUUGACCUCGGAUCAGGUAGGAAUACCCGCUGAACUUAAGCAUAUCAAUAAGCGGAGGAA
rnacentral:rRNA from 1 species